rnacentral:rRNA from 1 species
CCCUUAGAUGUUCUGGGCCGCACGCGCGCUACACUGAUGCAUUCAACGAGUCUAAAACCUGCUCUGAUAGGGGUGGGUAAUCUUUUGAAUGUGCAUCGUGAUUGGGAUAGAUGAUUGCAAUUUUUCAUCUUCAACGAGGAAUGCCUAGUAAACGCAAGUCAUCAGCUUGCAUUGAUUACGUCCCUGCCCUUUGUACACACCGCCCGUCGCUCCUACCGAUUGAAUGAUCCGAUGAAUAUCAUGGAUUGAGGAUGCAAGCAGGUUCGCCUGUCUUCAUCUUCGAGAAGUGAAGUAAAUCUUACCAUUUAGAGGAAGGAGAAGUCGUAACA